rnacentral:hammerhead_ribozyme from 1 species
GUAUUACUGAAGAGUCCCAAACUAGGAUGAAACAGCUGUCCAGUAU